rnacentral:pre_miRNA from 1 species
UAAUGAUGAUGAUGAUGAUGAUGAUGAUGAUGAUGAUGUGGCAUUAUUCCCAUCGAUUGAUUCAUUUAUUCAUUGAUAAUCCCCCAUCAUCAUCAUCUUCAUCAUCAUCAUCUUCA